GUAAUCUCAGCACUUUGGGAAGCCGAGACGAGCGGAUCACGAGAGACGGGGUUUCACCAUGUUAGCCAGGAUGGUCUCGAUCUCCUGACUUCGAGAUCCACCCACCUCGGCCUCCCAAAGUGCUGGGAUUACAGGCAUGAGCCACCACACCCGGCGACUCAUUCUUAUACAACUACCUUUGUCAGCAUUCUUGCCAUUGGACUGUCUAGCCCUUGAUGCUGUUAUAUCAUGGCUUGUUGAUACAGAAGAUGCUACAUGAACUCAAGUGGAACUCUGACUGCCUUGAGAGCAUCCCACCAUCCAUUGCUGCUGCAUCAAGGUAUUAAAAAGAGAGACAGAAGGAAGAGAAUGUUUGUCAAAUGUCUUCUUUGGGCACCUCACAGGGCCAGGCACAAGGGGAAGGGGUAUUUGCAGCUGACUUCAAUCCAAAGCUGAAUGUGGAUGUUGGCACCUGCUGCUCCCUCUCUCCAGACAUCUCCCUGUAUCUUUGCUUAUUUGGUUUCAUAUUUAUUGACCAUCAACCACCCCCCAUCCCUGUAGAACGAGAAGCUCAUGAGAACAGGGGUCUUGUUCUCUAGCUUUUGUUUCUCCACCGAGAAGAGUGCCUGGAAACAGAGUCAAUGCUCAAUAAACAUUUAUGGAACAAA